CGGGCGGGCGGCCGAGCGAGCGGGCGGGCGGGCCAUGGCGGCGUUGCACGGGGCGGGCGCCAAGGCCGGCGCCCCGCCGCAAAUCCCCGACACCCGCCGCGAGCUGGCCGAGCUGGUCAAGCGCAAGCAGGAGCUGGCGGAGACGCUGGCCAACCUGGAGCGGCAGAUCUACGCCUUCGAGGGCAGCUACCUGGAGGACACGCAGAUGUACGGGAACAUCAUCCGCGGCUGGGACCGCUACCUGACCAACCAGAAAAACUCCAACAGCAAGAACGACCGUCGGAACCGGAAGUUUAAGGAGGCGGAGAGGCUCUUCAGCAAGUCCUCAGUCACCUCGGCGGCCGCGGUCAGCGCGUUGGCCGGAGUCCAGGACCAGCUCAUCGAAAAGCGUGAGCCCGGCAGUGGCACCGAGAGUGAUACUUCCCCGGAUUUUCACAACCAAGAAAAUGAGCCAAGCCAGGAGGAGGUGGAAGAGCUGGAUGGCUCUGUUCAAGGGGUGAAACCUCAAAAAGCAGCCUCUUCUGCCUCUGGAAGCCACCACAGUAGUCACAAGAAACGGAAGAACAAAAACAGGCACAGCCCGUCUGGCAUGUUUGAUUAUGACUUUGAGUAUGUAUAUUAGGUUAGGCUGGCAAGUUUUUAAAAAUACAGACAAAAGCACAAUGGAGGAUUGAUCUCAAGUUGAACAAAAAACCGCGAGCUGACUACUAGUGCUCCUCCAGGCUGAAUCUUCUAGGAACUUUCCUCCUUCCCUCCCUGAGACUGAAUAAGCACAAGGCCAGCUCUUUCCUGGCGGCGCCACUGGCCGAACCAGACCUUCCUGCUGUUGCCAGUUCGUCAUGCAUAAAACCCGCAAAGAGAAGCCCUCUCUACUUGCUGCCGUCUUCUGGUGGAUUCCUUUUGUCUUACGUAUUUGGCUCUUUUUAAAAAAAUAAACGUUAUUUAAUUUUCCAUUUGUUAAAAGGUUAAGACAAAUUAUCUCCUAGAUCUUUUUUCUUCUUCGGAACCCAAAGACCCUCCAGUAGACCCUUCAAACUGGGAAGGGUGAUUUCAUUGUACUCUGAAACUUCUACUAACACCUUGAGGGAAAUGGGUGUUUGGGGGAAGCAGCCUCUUUUUUAAUAUUUAUGUCUACUUAUUGUAAAUAAAACAUCUCCUCCACCAA